rnacentral:rRNA from 1 species
GACGAACGCUGGCGGCGCGCCUAACACAUGCAAGUCGAACGGAGUUAUUUCGGUUGAAGUUUUCGGAUGGAUACUGGUUUAACUUAGUGGCGAACGGGUGAGUAACGCGUGAGUAACCUGCCCUGGAGUGGGGGACAACAGUUGGAAACGACUGCUAAUACCGCAUAAGCCCACGGCCCGGCAUCGGGCUGAGGGAAAAGGAUUUAUUCGCUUCAGGAUGGACUCGCGUCCAAUUAGCUAGUUGGUGAGGUAACGGCCCACCAAGGCGACGAUUGGUAGCCGGACUGAGAGGUUGAACGGCCACAUUGGGACUGAGACACGGCCCAGACUCCUACGGGAGGCAGCAGUGGGGGAUAUUGCACAAUGGGGGAAACCCUGAUGCAGCGACGCCGCGUGGAGGAAGAAGGUUUUCGGAUUGUAAACUCCUGUCGUUAGGGACGAAUAUUGACGGUACCUAACAAGAAAGCACCGGCUAACUACGUGCCAGCAGCCGCGGUAAAACGUAGGGUGCAAGCGUUGUCCGGAAUUACUGGGUGUAAAGGGAGCGCAGGCGGACCGGCAAGUUGGAAGUGAAAUCUAUGGGCUCAACCCAUAAAUUGCUUUCAAAACUGCUGGCCUUGAGUAGUGCAGAGGUAGGUGGAAUUCCCGGUGUAGCGGUGGAAUGCGUAGAUAUCGGGAGGAACACCAGUGGCGAAGGCGACCUACUGGGCACC